GUACACUCCUGCGGGAGGCAGCAGUGGGGAAUAUUGGACAAUGGGCGCAAGCCUGAUCCAGCCAUGCCGCGUGAGUGAUGAAGGCCCUAGGGUUGUAAAGCUCUUUCACCGGUGAAGAUAAUGACGGUAACCGGAGAAGAAGCCCCGGCUAACUUCGUGCCAGCAGCCGCGGUAAUACGAAGGGGGCUAGCGUUGUUCGGAUUUACUGGGCGUAAAGCGCACGUAGGCGGACUAUUAAGUCAGGGGUGAAAUCCCGGGGCUCAACCCCGGAACUGCCUUUGAUACUGGUAGUCUUGAGUUCGAGAGAGGUGAGUGGAAUUCCGAGUGUAGAGGUGAAAUUCGUAGAUAUUCGGAGGAACACCAGUGGCGAAGGCGGCGCACUGGCUCGAUACUGACGCUGAGGUGCGAAAGCGUGGGGAGCAAACAGGAUUAGAUGCCCUUGUAGUCC
rnacentral:rRNA from 1 species